rnacentral:rRNA from 1 species
CACCGCGGUCAUACGAUUGACCCAAGCUAACAGGAGUACGGCGUAAAGCGUGUUAAAGCAUCAUACUAAAUAGAGUUAAAUUUUAAUUAAACUGUAAAAAGCCAUAAUUAUAACAAAAAUAAAUGACGAAAGUAACCCUACAAUAGCUGAUACACCAUAGCUAAGACC